GUCAUGAAUGAGAACAAACCAAAAUAUGGAUUCAUGUAUAUAAGAUUCUAUGGCAGUCUCAUGUCAAAGGAUUACAUGCAUAACUCCUAUUAUAAGAAAAUAUUUUUUGACAGGUAAGUUGACUCCAUAAGAUAUUUCUCCAGUCGGAUCAAUUCAGUAAACUUAUUCUUUAAUGAGCAUCCACAUCCUUGUAUUAGUGUCUCACACAAGUAGCUUAUAAGAUCAGCCACCCUCUCCAUCAAGCAUAC
rnacentral:lncRNA from 1 species